rnacentral:lncRNA from 1 species
AAACAAUGUAUAACUUUCAUAGUGACUGCAGAGUGUUGGGAAUAUGGCUCUUUUUCCCCCUACUGAAAAAUAUCUCUCGGCUGCUCGAUUAAAUCCUAGAAUGACUUUGUCAUCAUAAUCUUUAGCCCAGAUGUUUUGGUCUGUUCUAGACAUGAUACAAACAAAUUCAGGAACACAUAAAUCCAAAUAUUACUUUGAUAUGAUUUAUUUUAAAAUUGAAAAUACAGCUUUAGAUGUUGAAACACAAAUAACGCAACUUAUCCAGUAGAGGCCUGUCAACCCAAGACAAAGCCAAGAGGGAGUUAGGUUCAACAGCCCAGAGAGAGUUAGGUUCAACAGCCCAGAGAGAGUUAGGUUCAACAGCCCAGAGGGAGUUAGGUUCAACAGCCCAGAGGGAGUUAGGUUCAACAGCCCAGAGGGAGUUAGGUUCAACAGCAUGUCAACCCAAGACAAAGACAGGAGGGAGUUAGGUUCAACAGCCCAGAGGGAGUUAGGUUCAACAGCCCAGAGAGAGUUAGGUUCAACAGCCCAGAGGGAGUUAGGUUCAACAGCCCAGAGGGAGUUAGGUUCAACAGCCCAGAGGGAGUUAGGUUCAACAGCCCAGAGGGAGUUAGGUUCAACAGCCCAGAGGGAGUUAGGUUCAACAGCAUGUCAACCCUCACACGCCUUGUGCUUGUUCUGUGUAAAUGUGUGUGUGUGUAAAUGUUUGUGUGUGGUGUGUGUGUGUGUGUGUGUGUGUAAAUGUUUUUGCGGUGUGUGUGUGUGUAAAUGUUUUUGCGGUGUGUGUGUGUGUAAAUGUUUUUGCGGUGUGUGUGUGUGUGUGUAAAUGUUUGUGUGGUGUUUGUGUGGUGUGUGUGUGUAAAUGUUUGUGUGGUGUGUGUGUGUAAAUGUUUGUGUGGUGUGUGUGUAAAUGUUUUUGCGGUGUGUGUGUAAAUGUUUUUGCGGUGUGUGUGUACAUGUUUUUGCGGUGUGUGUGUAAAUGUUUUUGCGGCGUGUGUGUGUGUGUGUGUGUAAAUGUUUAUGUGGUGUGUGUGUGUAAAUGUUUAUGUGGUGUGUGUGUGUGUAAAUGUUUGUGUGGUGUGUGUGUGUGUAAAUGUUUUUGCGGUGUGUGUGUGUGUAAAUGUUUUUGCGGUGUGUGUGUGUGUGUAAAUGUUUGUGUGGUGUGUGUGUGUGUGUGUAAAUGUUUGUGUGGUGUGUGUGUAAAUGUUUUUGCGGUGUGUGUGUAAAUGUUUUUGCGGCGUGUGUGUGUGUGUGUAAAUGUUUAUGUGGUGUGUGUGUGUGUGUGUGUGUGUGUGUGUGUGUGUGUGUGUGUGUGUGUGUGUGUGUGUGUGUGUGUGUUGGCAUGUUA